rnacentral:rRNA from 1 species
AUGUCAUGGAAGGCGGAGCUAAUCAGAGCAACUUUUGCUAGGUUUGAUGCCGAAGAUAUCCUCAAGAUACCAUUGUGCACCCGCAAGGUUGCUGAUUUCUGGGCCUGGCAGGAAGAACCGAGGGGCAUUUUCAGCGUUCGUUCCGCUUAUCCCAUGAUCCUCAGAACAAAGCAUGAGCGUGAGGCUUGGCUGAAUGAAGAGGAGGGGACAUCCAUUGUGCAGCAAGAGGCGGACAAGUGGAGUAAUAUUUGGCACCUGCAGGUUCCAUCGAAGCUCCGCAUGUUUGUUUGGCGGCUGGCGAGAAAUUACAUGCCCACUAUCGACUUACUAAAGCAUCGCAACAUGACUACUGAGGACAAUUGUCCCUUAUGUGGAGCGGUUGAUACGUGGAGACAUGCUCUUUUUAUGUGUCUGAUGUCAAGCAGCGUUUGGGCCCUAGCUCCGGAGGUUUUGGUUCAUCAUCUGGUGGAUAGAAUGGAAGAACAUCCCAAGGAUUGGCUCUUCGCUAUGAGUGAAGCUCUGAACAGAGACAUGUUUACGCAUAUGAUUGUCAUCAUGUGGGCUAUUUGGCGAGCUCGUAGGAAAGCGAUCUAUGAAGAUAUAUUCCAAUCACCACACUCCAUUCAUGGGUUCAUCACAAGCUUUCUUGAGGAUCUGAGGUAUAUUAAUGCAGGUGAACCUCAACAUACCGGUGUGAAAGCCCCAAGGCCAACCCAAUGGCAGGCUCCGACCACGGGAUGCGUGGAGAUCAAUGUAUAUGCAGCGGCACCCAGGCAUGCUAGGUUUGGGGCCGUGGGGGCGAUCUGCAGAAGUCCAGAUGGACUGUUUUUGGGAGCUUCAGCUUUGGUUAUGAGGCACAUCGGGGAUCCGGAGACGCUAGAAGCUAUGGCGAUCAUAGAAGGACUAGCACUUGCAGAGGACCUUUACCAAAGGCGUAUUCAUGUUGCAUCUGAUUGCAAGCAGGUAGUCGACUCUCUAAAGAAGGAGGACGCUUCUCCAUAUGGUGCUAUUGUGCAUGAAAUAAUAAGCCACUCUUUAGAUUUUGAUAUGUGUAAAGUUAGCCAUGAAUUUAGGAGCUCAAAUUAUGAAGCUCACAACUUAGUGAAGCAUGCUCUAUCUCUCGGGGAUGGACGUCGUGUGUGGCUGGGCCACCCCGGAGAUCUUCCUUUUGUCCCUGUAAACAUUGUGACAAAUUAA